AACGAACGCUGGCGGCAUGCCUAACACAUGCAAGUCGAACGAUGCCUUCGGGCAUAGUGGCGCACGGGUGCGUAACGCGUGGGAAUCUGCCCUUGUCUUCGGAAUAACAGUUAGAAAUGACUGCUAAUACCGGAUGAUGUCUCCCUGAGAGAUCUUGGGGACCAAAGAUUUAUCGGCCAGGGAUGAGCCCGCGUAGGAUUAGGUAGUUGGUGGGGUAAAGGCCUACCAAGCCGACGAUCCUUAGCUGGUCUGAGAGGAUGAUCAGCCACACUGGGACUGAGACACGGCCCAGACUCCUACGGGAGGCAGCAGUGGGGAAUAUUGGACAAUGGGGGGAACCCUGAUCCAGCAAUGCCGCGUGAGUGAUGAAGGCCUUAGGGUUGUAAAGCUCUUUUACCAGGGAUGAUAAUGACAGUACCUGGAGAAUAAGCUCCGGCUAACUCCGUG
rnacentral:rRNA from 1 species